rnacentral:rRNA from 1 species
GACGAACGCUGGCGGCGUGCUUAACACAUGCAAGUCGAACGAUGAAGAAAAGAAUUGAAGCUUCGGCAGAAAUUCAUUUCGGAUCAGUGGCAGACGGGUGAGUAACGCGUGAGCAACCUACCUCUUACAAAGGGAUAGCCUCGGGAAACCGGGAUUAAUACCAUAUAACAUUGCGACGAAGCAUUUCGAUGCAAUCAAAGCUACGGCGGUAAGAGAUGGGCUCGCGUCCCAUUAACCAGAUGGUGAGGUAACGGCUCACCAUAGUAACGAUGGGUAACCGGCCUGAGAGGGUGAACGGUCACACUGGAACUGAGACACGGUCCAGACUCCUACGGGAGGCAGCAGUGGGGAAUAUUGCACAAUGGAGGGAACUCUGAUGCAGCGACGCCGCGUGAGUGAUGAAGGAAUUCGUUUCGUAAAACUCUGUUCUAUGGGAAGAAAAGGACUGUACCAUAGGAGAAAGCUCCGGCUAAAUACGUG